rnacentral:rRNA from 1 species
GAUGAACGCUGGCGGCGUGCCUAAUACAUGCAAGUCGAGCGAACGGACGAGAAGCUUGCUUCUCUGAUGUUAGCGGCGGACGGGUGAGUAACACGUGGAUAACCUACCUAUAAGACUGGGAUAACUUCGGGAAACCGGAGCUAAUACCGGAUAAUAUUUUGAACCGCAUGGUUCAAAAGUGAAAGACGGUCUUGCUGUCACUUAUAGAUGGAUCCGCGCUGCAUUAGCUAGUUGGUAAGGUAACGGCUUACCAAGGCAACGAUGCAUAGCCGACCUGAGAGGGUGAUCGGCCACACUGGAACUGAGACACGGUCCAGACUCCUACGGGAGGCAGCAGUAGGGAAUCUUCCACAAUGGGCGAAAGCCUGACGGAGCAACGCCGCGUGAGUGAUGAAGGUCUUCGGAUCGUAAAACUCUGUUAUUAGGGAAGAACAUAUGUGUAAGUAACUGUGCACAUCUUGACGGUACCUAAUCAGAAAGCCACGGCUAACUACGUGCCAGCAGCCGCGGUAAUACGUAGGUGGCAAGCGUUAUCCGGAAUUAUUGGGCGUAAAGCGCGCGUAGGCGGUUUUUUAAGUCUGAUGUGAAAGCCCACGGCUCAACCGUGGAGGGUCAUUGGAAACUGGAAAACUUGAGUGCAGAAGAGGAAAGUGGAAUUCCAUGUGUAGCGGUGAAAUACGCAGAGAUAUGGAGGAACACCAGUGGCGAAGGCGACUUUCUGGUCUGUAACUGACGCUGAUGUGCGAAAGCGUGGGGAUCAAACAGG